rnacentral:tRNA from 1 species
GGAGGGUAUAGCUCAGUGGUAAGAGCAUGUGCUUAGCAUGCACAAGGUCCUGGGUUCAAUCCCCAGUACCUCCU